CACUGCCCCCGGCAGACCCUUCAUGCAGCUUCUCCUGUGGGGUCUUGCCCUUGAAGUGCCACUUCCCCCAGCCCCACCUCUGGUCCCUUCCAGAGGGCACCCUUAGCCUUGUAGGUCCCUGGGAAGCUGGCACAGCAUCAACCAGAAGUGAUGCCUCAGCCAGGCCACCAGUCGCUCCCCGCCUGGGAGCUCAGCUUUCCUCAGAACCACCCCCCCUGUCUGAAGCUCUGUCCUGGGUCCCACCAGACUUCUGCCCACCAGGCCUACCUACAGCAUCCACAUGGGGCCUCAGGAAGGGCCCCGGGGGCCCAGGGAUGGGCAGGGGCAGGGUUUCCAAGCGCCUGGGGCUCCAUUCUCCUCUGUCCACCCACCCACACCCCUUGGCCUCAGCCUGCCCUGUACCCAAGCUUCCCUCCCCCUCUCCUGGGGAUCUUAACGGCCUUGUUCUCUCUCCCUGGCACCCACCCCCAGGGCGGGUGAUGCCGCCAAGAGAGAGGGAGGCCGUUGCUAGGUGAUGGCGCCGCCAUGCACACACCCUUUGUGCUGGGGAGUGACACCCACCCGUUUCUCAGCAGACCUGUUGCCACGGUGACUGAAGCCCCCAGCUCUGUCUGUAGAAACUUCAGAUGGGUGGGGGAGCAGGUUGGAGAGGGGACCAAAGGCAGGCCUGUCGUGCUGAAGCUCUUGGGGACCGUUUCCUCGGCAUUUCCCCAACUCCUUCUCCACCCCCCUGCCAGGCCCGGAAGUACCACCAGCUUCCUAAGGGAUGCAGGAAGGGGCCGGGUGAACUGAGGUGAAGUCCAGGGCAGGGGAGUCAGACCCCUCAACAUCCUGUUUAGGGGUCCUCCUCCACAAAGGGUGCCCUCCACCUCUCCCUCCUGCUGGUUGGCCGGCUCAGAGAUGAAGGGGGAGAGAUGGUGGCUCCAAGGCUCUGCCACCGCCACCUCCCAAGCCUGCCAACGUGAAUGGCUUGCAGAAUCAGUCAGCAGGCCAGCGGCCUUGGGAAAGAGCCACUGUCCUCGCAGCCUGGGCCAGCUGGGGGAACAAUGUAGGGUUUGUUGCUUAGGGGUCCCAGGCUUGCGGGGGGGUUGGCACAUGGUGGGCAGUGGACUUGAGCUGGGAUGGUCUGAGGGGGCACUGACACGCUCACCCGAGGGCAGACUUCAGACCAGCCCUCAGAUCCUGAUGCCAGGUUACAGGGCUGAGGGGAGCCUGAAAUCCACUGGGUCUCCCUGCUCCACUUGGGAGUCACCUUCUCAUCACCUAUCCUGGAACUGAAUGCAAUUACUUAAACUCAGUCUCAGCUUCCUCAUCUGUAAAAUGGGAAUAAUCUGUCCUUCACAGAGGAUUAUGGUCAUUUAAUGAGACAAGAUACAUAAAGCACUUUGCAUGGUG
rnacentral:lncRNA from 10 species